rnacentral:rRNA from 1 species
UACGAAGGGGGCUAGCGUUGCUCGGAAUUACUGGGCGUAAAGGGCGCGUAGGCGGCACUGUUAGUCAGGCGUGAAAGUCCUGGGCUCAACCUGGGAACUGCGCUUGAUACGGCAGAGCUAGAGGAUGGAAGAGGGUCGCGGAAUUCCCAGUGUAGAGGUGAAAUUCGUAGAUAUUGGGAAGAACACCGGUGGCGAAGGCGGCGACCUGGUCCAUUACUGACGCUGAGGCGCGACAUCGUGGGGAGCAAACAGG